ACAGAAGCGGAACGCGCGUCGAGAGCGCCCUGUCCGCUCGCCCCAGACAGAUGCCCGGUUAUUCAUUACCGCGAGGCCUAGAGGAAAGAGUGGCUGCCGUCUUCCUGCCCACAGCCCGCCGGACCCUCCGUCGCGGCUGCCCGGUCCCCGGAGCCGCAGCCGCCGAGCCCGGCUGUGCGUGUCGUGGCUGCUGGGGAGAAAGAGGCUUCCGGAAGCCCCAGAGAGAUUGGUGAGGGUGAUUUCCCAGGAAGACGCAGUGUGCUCUGACUUCUGUGACAGUGAGCAACGGGACCAGUGGAUGUCCAGAUGCUGGCAAUGAGACAUGCUCUGGAGUCAGAAGACAGCGAAAAGAGAAGCAGAAGCCCCGGUGGCAAGAGUCUGAAGCUGGAAAGGAGGAGAACAUGAAACAUUGCUUGAAGACAAUGGCCGAGACAGCAGGUCCCACCCUGCACAGCCACCAGCAUCUCUCCCCUCAGCCCUGUCUCCUCUUCUGCAGUUGGGAUCUGCACAUUUAAGCCUGAAAUUGUCCUGUGAAGUGAAGUAUGAUCGGACAGCCUCUUUUCAGCUUUUAUGACAAUGGAGACAGAGGAAUUGUGGCUCUUGCCAAGGUCACAGGAUUGGAAUACAGAGCCAAGCCACCCCAGGACAUGCAAGAGCCUCAGAAGGGAAAAAAGCCCAGCAGGAAGGGAGAACAAGUAGCCUCUGUCCUGAAGUUGUAACAGCCAGGGGCCAGGAUGGAGGAGGAGGACCCCAUAAUCUGCCCAUCUGGGACUUGGCAGGGGACCUGGGAAAAUGUACCCCAACCCAUCCCUUAAGGGCCUUUGUCUUUGGCCCAUUGGCCUAGCAUCUACUUCUUCACCGUGUCUGUUCUUGUCACACCUAGUCAGGUCUGUUUGGGUCUGAGGUGCAUGGAACAUUCUGGGUAGGCCUCCAGCAAACGGAAGCUCUUCACCGUGUUUCCAGCCUGGGACCAAGGGCAGCAUACUGGCAAAGUUGCCAAAGCAAGGGACUCCAGCCUCUUAGGAGUUAAUGACUCCCUCUCCCCAGCUGUCCUCCCCUUGGUGCUCCUCUUCCUCCCUCCUCCUGCUCACAGCAGGCAGGGCCUAGACCCGGGAGCCAUGCUGCUGUGCUGUUGCCAGGGGAGCACGGAGGCAGAUCUGAGCUAUGCAGGGAAAAGGCCCAGCCUGUCAAAGUGUCUGAGAUGAACCGCCGCCGUCCCUGUGCAGCUGGGCUCAGACGUGUCUCAGCUCUUGUUCUGUGCCUGAGAAUGGCGAAACCCAGUGAGGUUCAAGGGCAAACUCGCUAUUCAUUAGUCAGGGGUUCUUGACGUCCCGUCUCUCCCAGGGAUGAGUUCCCCCCUCCUCUUUCUCCCCCUCCUAUGACACAUUCCUGGGUGCCUUUGGUGAGGACUGCACACCCUCCUCCUGCCUAGCCCCCUCUCCAAAGGCCCCUGAAUAAACUCCCCCCAAGGAGACCAGGCAGGGCAGAGACAAUGGCUGCAGGAAAUCAUUCAGGCGGGACAUGCUGGCCUGCCCUCCACCCAGUCCCCCUGUGGGCCCCACUCCCUUCUGAUUCAGGGCACCCUUGGGCCCCCAGCCUAUACAGGCCUGGACAGGAAGAAACCACUGGGAACCACCCUAAGGACAACAUGCUAGUCCAGUGCCAUUCUUCGCUGGCUCUGUGGGUGCCUUUGUGGCCUGUACCGACUGGCUGGCUAAUUUUGUGGUUUCUGUACCAUCACAUGCCUAUUUUAAGACACUCUCCAGCACUGUCGGUUAGGGAGUGUAAAUUUUGCAAUAUUUUCUGAAAUGUGGCAAUAUCAAAAUGUAAAAGGCACACAUACUUGGUCACAAACAAAUGGCACUAUUUACUCUGUGGGCAUAUUUGUAAAAGUUGCCAAAGAAUUAUAUACAAGGAUGUUCAUCAGAGCAUUUCUUUUGAAGAGUAAAGAAAUGGACAUG
rnacentral:lncRNA from 1 species